rnacentral:rRNA from 1 species
ACGCUCGACACCUACGGGAGGCAGCAGUAGGGAAUCUUCCACAAUGGGCGCAAGCCUGAUGGAGCAACACCGCGUGAGUGAAGAAGGGUUUCGGCUCGUAAAGCUCUGUUGUUGGAGAAGAACGUGCGUGAGAGUAACUGUUCACGCAGUGACGGUAUCCAACCAGAAAGUCACGGCUAACUACGUGCUAGCAGCCGCGGUAAUCUGAGCGGGCUGGCAAGGC